rnacentral:rRNA from 1 species
GGAUGAAUGCUGGCGGCGUGCCUAAUACAUGCAAGUCGAGCGGUAACAGGGCUUCACGUUCCUUGACACUCCGGGCUGAUAGCGGGAGGAAGAUUCGAGGGACAGUGAAGCUGCUGACGAGCGGCGGACGGCUGAGUAACGCGUGGGAACGGACCCCAAACUGAGGGAUAACUACUCGAAAGAGUGGCUAAUACCGCAUGUGAUCUUCGGAUUAAAGGAUUUAUCCGGUUUGGGACUGGGCCUGCGUACGAUUAGAUAGUUGGUAGGGUAAUGGCCUACCAAGUCGACGAUCGUUAGAUGGUUUGAGAAGAUCGAUCAUCCAGACUGGGACUGAGACACGGCCCAGACUCCUACGGGAGGCAGCAGUAGGGAAUCUUUCACAAUGGGCGAAAGCCUGAUGGAGCAACGCCGCGUGCAGGAUGACGGCCUUCGGGUUGUAAACUGCUUUUAUAAGCGAGAAAUAUGAUGGUAACUUAUGAAUAAGGACCGGCUAACUACGUGCC